rnacentral:rRNA from 1 species
UACGUAGGGCGCAAGCGUUAUCCGGAAUUAUUGGGCGUAAAGAGCUCGUAGGCGGUUUGUCGCGUCUGCCGUGAAAGUCCGGGGCUCAACUCCGGAUCUGCGGUGGGUACGGGCAGACUAGAGUGAUGUAGGGGAGACUGGAAUUCCUGGUGUAGCGGUGAAAUGCGCAGAUAUCAGGAGGAACACCGGUGGCGAAGGCGGUUCUCUGGGCCGUAACUGACGCUGAGGAGCGAAAGCGUGGGGAGCGAACAGG